rnacentral:rRNA from 1 species
GAAAGUAAGAAAGGGCGUAUGGCGGAUGCCUAGGCUCACGGAGGCGAUGAAGGACGUGAUAAGCUGCGAUAAGCUUCGGGUAGGUGCAAAUAACCCUUGAUCCGGAGAUUUCCGAAUGGGACAACCUAGCCGUCUGAAGGACGGUUACUCUUACCAAUGUAAGAGAGCUAACGCAGGGAACUGAAACAUCUUAGUACCUGCAGGAAGAGAAAAUAAAUGAAUGAUUCCCCCAGUAGUGGCGAGCGAACGGGGAACAGCCCAAACCGUUGACGUCGCAAGGCGCCAGCGGGGUUGUAGGACCGCGACAUUGUAUGCAAAUCGUGAACAGAACACUUUGGAAAAUGUGACCAUAGACGGUGAUAGUCCAGUAUGUGAAGCGAAAUGCAGCAUAGCGGUAUCCUGAGUAACGCGGGACACGAGGAAUCCUGCGCGAAUCUGCCGGGACCAUCCGGUAAGGCUAAAUACUCCCGUGAGACCGAUAGCGAACGAGUACUGUGAAGGAAAGGUGAAAAGAACCCCGAGCAGGGGAGUGAAAUAGUUCCUGAAACCAUACGCCUACAAGCGGUCGGAGCAUCGCAAGAUGUGACGGCGUGCCUUUUGCAUAAUGAUCCUACGAGUUACCGUCACUGGCGAGGUUGAGUGUCAUGAGACACGUAGCCGCAGUGAAAGCGAGCCUGAAUAGGGCGCACAGUCAGUGGGGGUAGACGCGAAACCAAGUGAUCUACACUUGGCCAGGAUGAAGUCCCGGUAACACGGGAUGGAGGUCCGCACCAAUAAGCGUUGAAAAGCUUCUGGAUGAGCCGAGUGUAGGAGUGAAAGGCCAAUCAAACUUGGAGAUAGCUCGUACUCCCCGAAAGGCAUUUAGGUGCCGCGUCGGAUGGUCACCGUGAGAGGUAGAGCGACCGAUAGGACAAGAGGGCUUCACCGCCUAUCGAGUCCUGACGAACUCCGAAUGCUCACGGUCUGCAGUCCGGCAGUAAGGGGGCGGGUGCUAAGGUCCGUCCCCGAGAGGAGAAGAAUCCAGACCGCCGUCUAAGGUCCCGGAGUUCUGCCUGAGUUAGUCUAACGAAGUCUGGUCCCUAUGACAGCUAGGAUGUUGGCUUGGAAGCAGCCAUUCAUUCAAAGAGUGCGUAACAGCUCACUAGUCGAGGGUCCGGGCAUGGAUAAUAAUCGGGUAUAAGGCAGACACCGAAGGCGCGGGAUAGCAAUUAUAAAAGUAUCGGUAGGGGAGCAUACUCACAGCGUCGAAUGGUGUACGUAAGUUAUCCUGGAGCGGUGAGUAAAGCAAAUGUAGGAAUAAGUAACGAUAAGGAGGGUUAGAUUCCCUCCCGCUGUAAGACCAAGGUUUCCCGGGCAAUGCCAAUCAGCCCGGGGUCAGUCGGGUCCUAAGUCUAAGCCGAACGGCGAUGGCGAUGGCAGAGACGGUUAAUAUUCCGUCACUGCCGCAUGGGGCGACGUGGAGACGGAGCAGUGAAACCACCGCGGGGCGACGGAAGUCCCCGUUGAAGGGUGUAGGCGUUGAGGAAGGCAGGCAAAUCCACCUUCCGAGCUGAACCUGAUAGUACGGAGUCCUCCUCGGAGGAAUCUGAUAGUGUGGGUAAUCAUACUCCCGAGAAAAUCCGCUAAGCUUAACCCAUGCGGCACCCGUACCGCAAACGGACACACGUGGUCGGGUAGAACAUACUAAGGCGUUGAGAGAUUCAUGGUUAAGGAACUAGGCAAAUUGACCCUGUAACUUCGGGAUAAAGGGUCCUCGUGAUGAGCGAGGCGCAGAGAAUAGGUCCAGGCAACUGUUUAACAAAAACACAGGGCUGUGCAAACUCGAAAGAUGACGUAUACAGCCUGACACCUGCCCGGUGCCGGAAGGUUAAGAGGAGAUGUCACUCGCAAGAGGAAGCAUUGAAUUGAAGCCCCGGUAAACGGCGGCCGUAACUAUAACGGUCCUAAGGUAGCGAAAUUCCUUGUCGGGU